UGUUCAGUCUUCUCAUAUCUUUAAAUUCACUUGCCAUCCAGUCCUGUUCAUCUUUGCCUGUAGUGUCCUCAGGUUUUUCUUCUCACUCUCACUGAUGUCAUUUAACUGCAGCCUGUGAAGGACACAAGUGUGAGUUAAAAACAUAAGAGAACCCCACCUCACACAUUGUACUAUCACAGUGACACGCCCACUUAGGUCAACUUCCCAGAAUUCUCCACAGUGUCCCUAAGUCACAUGAGAUGUGUGUCACCCUGCCGGUCACUCAGUUUACUGUCCAGUCAGGUCACCGUCCUCUGAAGGCCUUUUGGUUUCAUCUCAUCUCAGUGAAGUUCUCUCACGUUCCUCGUAUUUUGUGGUUUGAACCCAAGAUGCAAGACCCCCUGCCCCCCAACUCUCUAAAGGCUGUGGCUCAUCUGACUGCGCUCUGGUUAUUGGUGGUCUUUGUCCAGUUUAGUCAGCUGUGAGUGUGGAGAAGAGAAGACUGAAGAGAGAGAUGAGGAACAUCUGGAGGUGAGACCACAAUCAGACAGGCUGUGGAGAUAAUGAAAGAGAAGUGAGGACAUGAGGAGGGACAGACAGACAGAAGGCCACAGAGCUCAAAGGCUCAAUGACUGCUGGCAUUUUUACUUUUUACUGAGUCUGUUUGAACCCGAGACCACCGCUGUUCUUAUAAGUAAGGCACCAAACACCUGAGAGGGUCUCCUGCCUUCAUGCUGUACUGACAGCUCUGAGAAGAAACCAAAUGAGGGGAACUGACUCAGCCGCAGUGCCCAGAGCUGCCCUUGUCCUUCUGGGUGGGACUCUUGAAAAGCUGCCGGCCCCCCAGUGGAUGGAGUCUGCUGUUGGACCCAGAAACAUAACAUGAAGCAAGCGCCAUCGUGUUCACACAACUGUACAGUAAAUUUGUCUAUUGGGCUGAAAAGAAAGACAGAAACAACACCACCAUAACUUUCCCCGGACUCACUAAACCACGCGCUGCUACUUCCGCAUUCCAUCCCUUCCUCUGGUCCUAUCUUGAUGUCGUCAUGACUCCCAUUCAACACCUCGGUUUCUUCCCAGCAAUCCAGUCAUCAGUUUCCGCUCCCUCCUCAUAUAAGUUCCCUCCAUCCCAUGCAAUGUUGUUCUUGUAAUGACCUCAAGUCAUAGCACUGACUGUGUUUAUUGUUUUUUUGAAAAUCUGCAAAGUAUACAGGGCCGGAAACCCCAAACCUUUAUCUGUUUCUGUGUCCUUUAUUACACUGUAUACUUUUUACCUAUUUUAAUUCUCUUCAUCAUCACUUUAAAAUUAUUAAUUAUUUCUUUAUAUUUGUAUAAAUUAUGCUUUGAAAAUUAAUUUCUAUUACAUACAGGUGCAGAUCUUUUAUGAAAGUAAUGAAGUUUAAUCUUCAGGGCUCAGAUGGGACUUUAGACACUUGAAUAAAAAGAUUGGGUGUCUGCUGUUUGAAAAAGGGGGUUUAAAACAUUAUAAUAACAAUUAAAUAGUGGCAUUCAAUACAAAAUAUUACUUAAAAUUAAAGUUUAAGCUUCAGAGCCCCA